UACGUGGAGGCCAAGCGUUGUCCGGAUUUAUUGGGCGUAAAGAGCUCGUAGGCGGUUGGGUAAGUCGGGUGUGAAAACUCCAGGCUCAACUUGGAGAUGCCACCCGAUACUGCUCUGACUUGAGUUCGGUAGGGGAGUGGGGAAUUCCUGGUGUAGCGGUGAAAUGCGCAGAUAUCAGGAGGAACACCGAUGGCGAAGGCAGGUCUCUGGGCCAUAACUGACGCUGAGAAGCGAAAGCAUGGGGAGCAAACAGG
rnacentral:rRNA from 1 species